rnacentral:rRNA from 1 species
ACCUGCCCUAUGAAUAAUUUGUUUUUAAAUGGCUGCGGUACUCUGACCGUGCAAAGGUAGCAUAGUAAUUAGUUUCUUAAUUGGGAACUGGAAUGAAUGGUUGGACGAGAAAAAUACUGUCUCAAUUUAAUUUAAAUUAGAAUUUUAUUUUUAAGUAAGAAAGCUUAAAUAUUCUUAAAAGACGAGAAGACCCUAUAGAGUUUUAUAUAAAUUAUUAUAAUUGAAAGUUGAAGUAUUAUAGAUUUGAAUAUAGUAGUUUAUAUUUGGUUGGGGCGAUUAAAAAAUUUAAUGAACUUUUUUUAAAUAAUUCCAUUGAUUUAUGAGUAAGUGAUCCAUAUUUUAUGAUUAUAAGAUU